UUUUGCCCAUGUAUUGUUUUCCUUAUAUUAUUUAUUUGUCUAUCUGUGUUCUUUUGAAGCUCAUUGAGCUUCUUUAAGCUGGAGGACAAAAAGCAGGAGGAAAGAGAUUGAGGCCAGGGAGCCAUCUAGGAGAGUGUUGCACGGUCCAAAUCAAAGAAGAUAAGGACAGUAGCAGGGGACAUGGAACAAGGCGAACACUUUUUUGCAGAACUGCUGGAGAUAAAAGCAAACGUCUUAGAAGAGCAAGUGUGACAUCUGGUACGCGACCAGGAAUAAAUCUCUACCUGCCAAGCAAGACUGUAAGGCAAUCUGG